AAGUCGUAACAAGGUUUCCGUAGGUGAACCUGCGGAAGGAUCAUUAUUGAAUAAAUCUGACAUGGUUGUAGCUGGCUCUUCGGGGCAUGUGCUCGCCUGUCACCUUUAUCUUUCCACCUGUGCACACACUGUAGUCCUGGAUACCUCUCGCCGCAAGGCGGAUACAGAGACUGCUGUUCAACCUCCGAAAGGGGGAGGUCGGCUAUCUCUGAAUUUCCAGGUCUACGAUUAUCACACACCCCAAUUGAAUGUUACAGAAUGUUAUCAAAGGGCCUUGUGCCUAUAAAUCUAUACAACUUUCAGCAACGGAUCUCUUGGCUCUC
rnacentral:misc_RNA from 1 species